UAUUGCUUACAUCUUCAGGAGCCAGAGA
rnacentral:piRNA from 1 species